rnacentral:tRNA from 1 species
AGAGACUUAGGAUAACUAGACCAAGAGCCUUCAAAGCCCUAAGAGGAAGUGAAAAUCUUCCAGUCCCUG